rfam:Sinomicrobium oceani strain CGMCC 1.12145 genome assembly, contig: IQ32DRAFT_scaffold00037.37
GCGGGGGAAGCCGAAAACCCGGAAGACAGAGUAGGCA